rnacentral:rRNA from 1 species
CCUACGGGAGGCUGCAGUGGGGAAUAUUGGACAAUGGGCGCAAGCCUGAUCCAGCCAUGCCGCGUGAGUGAUGAAGGCCUUAGGGUUGUAAAGCUCUUUUAUCCGGGACGAUAAUGACGGUACCGGAGGAAUAAGCCCCGGCUAACUUCGUGCCAGCAGCCGCGGUAAUACGAAUGGGGCUAGCGUUGCUCGGAAUCACUGGGCGUAAAGGGCGCGUAGGGGGCGUUUUAAGUCGGGGGUGAAAGCCUGUGGCUCAACCACAGAAUGGCCUGCGAUACUGGGACGCUUGAGUAGGGUAGAGGUUGGUGGAACUGCGAGUGUAGAGGUGAAAUUCGUAGAUAUUCGCAAGAACACCGGUGGCGAAGGCGGCCAACUGGACCAUUACUGACGCUGAGGCGCGAAAGCGUGGGGAGCAAACAGGAUUAGAUACCCCUGUAGUCCU